rnacentral:rRNA from 1 species
UACGUAGGGUCCGAGCGUUGUCCGGAAUUAUUGGGCGUAAAGGGCUCGUAGGCGGUUUGUUGCGUCGGGAGUGAAAACCUCGGGCUUAACUCGGGGCUUGCUUUCGAUACGGGCAGACUUGAGGCAUUCAGGGGAGAACGGAAUUUCUGGUGUAGCGGUGAAAUGCGCAGAUAUCAGAAGGAACACCGGUGGCGAAGGCGGUUCUCUGGGAAUGUUCUGACGCUGAGGAGCGAAAGUGUGGAGAGCGAACAGG